ensembl:lncRNA LINC00343 long intergenic non-protein coding RNA 343
GGAAAGGUAGGGAGGUAUGGAUAUGGACAAGCUAUGCCAAGGAGCAGGGCUUUGUCAUGGAGAGUGACUAGGUGCUUUUACAUAGGAAAGUCACCUGAUAAUAUUAAAACCUGUGAAAUAUCACUCUGGUGGAAGUGUGAAUGAAUUUGAAAGGGGUGUAACACUGUUCUACUUUGUUUACUCCUCAGUACCCUUGGCUGUGUACAUUUGAGUAAAGAGAGCACUAUAAAAUCAAAAACCAAUGAAAUGGUUUCCAGAACACAGAACUAUUAAGCUUAAGAAAAGGACAGAAGGAACUGAAGAGAGAGGAACUGUUUUGGAGCAUCACACUUCCACCUCAGAAGAAAUAAGGAAGGAAGGAGGAGGGUGUUCCCACGGCUCUUCAACCAGGCCGGCUCUUCAGCCUACAUCCCCAUCUCAUCAAGUAAAAGGGAUUUUUCAACUGGACCAACCAGAUGGUUUAACAGUGCACUCCCACACCAUUCAACUACGCAAGGGAGAUACACUUAACAUAUGCAGUCGUAUAACACCUACUAACAUUUUCAAACAUUAAACCUUUAAAAAAGAGUUCUAAAGAAAUAGAAGCUUGAAGUAUCAUCUCUCAAGUAUAUAGACACUACUUCAUGGUGUGGUAAUAUAUGCAUAUAGAAGCUAGUAAACACCUCCAGGAGAUGCAAAAGGAAUUAGAACUGCCACAAGGUGCAAGCAAAACCUUGAGGUAAUCAAUCUGCAUCCCAUUUUGGAUGAGAAUAUUUGCAACUUUGAAGGUUAUUUUAAGGACAGCAGCAGAAGAAUUAUGGCAGCUCUUCACGGAAAAAAAAAUGGCAACAAUAAAAUCAGCAACUCCUGCCAAAUAAAUGGGCAUAAAAAAGAAAUCAUAGACUGCUGGCAAUGGUGGGGAAAAAGUUAUAAAAAUUGUCUCUGCACCAUCUUCCUUUUGUCCUCUAAAAUAUUCACAUUAGCAAAAGUAUAUAACAGCUGAUGAAGAAAUACUGAUAAUUUGUCUUUCUUCUUUAAAAUAUGAAGACUUCGAAGUUAUUUAUCCAAACCAACCUGAUCAUUUCUUAAGAGUGAAUAUACCUUGGAAGACGUGUCCUGCCUUUAGUAGCGUCACAAUGGAUUACAUCCUCUAUAAAGCAGUCUGGGGUGAGAAAAUCGAAUUUGGACACCGUUGAGGAGACUAUUGCAGUCAUCCAAGCUCAAGAUGGUGGAGCUUCAUCCUUGAGAAUAACCAAUGGGGAUAGAUUUAAGAGACACUUAGAGUCUGCAGCCAACAGGGCUGAAUGAGCAGAGAGUUAUGAUUCAGAAGAUCAUCUAAAAUUGAACAGCUGCCACUACUGGCAAUAAGUCUACUGCCAUUUGGUAGAUAACCUUCUUAUCACACAGAAAAAUAUCAGUACAGACAAAUAGACCGCAAAGAAAAUGAGACCAUCAGCAAAGAAGAUAAAGAAGUUUGUACAAAGCAACUUUUUAUAAAUGGAUGGCUGUCAGGCAAAAAUAAAUUUCCUGUGGACAAGACCAAGAGCAAGGCAAGAGGAAAAUAAACAUGUUUAAAC